rnacentral:rRNA from 1 species
UACCAGCACCCCGAGUGGUCGGGACGAUUAUUGGGCCUAAAGCAUCCGUAGCCGGUUCUACAAGUCUUCCGUUAAAUCCACCUGCUUAACAGAUGGGCUGCGGAGGAUACUAUAGAGCUAGGAGGCGGGAGAGGCAAGCGGUACUUAGUGGGUAGGGGUAAAAUCCGUUGAUCCAUUGAAGACCACCCGUGGCGAAGGCGGCUUCCUGGAUCACCCCUGACGCUGAGACGCGAAAGCGUGGGGAGCGAACGGG